GGGUGGGUGGGGGGGUCCCAGCGCUGGGACGAGACCCCGGGGGGGAUGCUGACCCCAGCACGGCACGCAGCAUCCCUCAGGCUGGCAGGACGCCGGUGACAGCGAGGGCCUGGGGACAGGCGGCCCUGUGGGUCAGCGCCAUGAGGGACAGAGGAUAAAGAAGCUGGAAGACGCUGUGGGGUCACCACCAAGAAGUGGGACAGCAGGAGGCCCCCAGAAAGCGACAGUGCUUUGGGAACUGAGCGACGCUGUCACCUUGCCUCAGAGGGACGGUGAGGGAAGCAGGCCGCAGGGAUAUGGGGGUCCCCAAACCUCCCGGGGCAGCAGGAUGGCUCCAGGAUGGCUCUGGUAGCCAUCCACAGGCAAGGUGUGAAGUGAGGUUUGUGUUGGGGGACCCUUAGGGUGGUAUGCAGGCUCGCCCAGCACCAACCCAGCUGCCCAGAGGUGGCAGUGGGUGCAGAGCAGGCAUGGGGACCUCGCGUGCCCACCCCAGGGAGGCUUCCAGAAAAAGGCUGGCUGCAGGUGCGUUCCAUCAGAGCCCCUGGCCAAAGCUGAGAGCCUGAGGCAGAGCCGGGCACACUCUGACCACCACUGCAUCUGACUUUUGGGAGGAAAGGGGGGUCCGGAUACACCCCAAAGGCCCCCAUCCUGGGGUGUCCAAUCCCCCAGCCCCACCAGGCCGUGGGCAUCACCCCACAUUGCCCCUUGCCAAGCACGGCACAAUGCGUGCCAGGGACAGACCCACAGCCCCCAGCGGGAAUGGGCACCGCUGACCCAGCAUGAACCCCCCCCCCCCCCCCCCCCCCCCCCCCCCCCCCCCCCCCCCCCCCCCCAAACGGGCUAUUUUUACUUCUGGCAGCACGAACCCGCCAGGCAGCAGUGGCCGCGACUCAGGAGUUGUGCCGCAGGGAGGACGCAGCCGUCACAGCGUGUCUCCCCCCCCGACUCCCCCCUGUAAGAGCAGGGCUGGGGCGCAGCGUAGAGCUAUAUUUGGCCUUUCCAAAAUAUCCGGGGCUGGCGGCAGCUCUCCCCCCGGGGCGGGCACCCAACCCACGCCGGCUCUGCGCAGACACCCUGGGACAGUGCGGUGCUGGCGCUGCGGCACAACACCAACCCUCCCCACCCCCCGCAAUCCCAAUCCCCUCCCCCUCCUCCAACUUCCAUCCCCGGGCAUCAAAUCCUCAUCACCCGCUGCCCUCCUCGGGUGGAAUCCCAGCAGCCUUGGAAGGAGCCGGUCUGCGGCCUUCAUCACCACCACCAAGGUCAUCUGCGCGUGGUCUGCUCCAGCACUGGCUGUGAGAAGGAAGGAUGCUCCGAGGAGGAAGGAUGCUCGUGGGGAUCCAGCAGGAGCAGCCCGCGGGUACCAGCCCGGCGUCAGCGCUGCAGCCUCCGCCACACGCACCGAGCGCUGGGAGAGUCCAUUGCGACAGCCUGAGAAGGGAGGCGAUGGGGAGGGCUGUGCUACAGGGGGGGGGGGGGGGGGGGGGGGGGGGGGGGGGGGGGGGGGGGGGGCUCUCGGUUCGUUUGGUUAUAGAAGAGCCGAAGGGAUGCAACGCUCUGCCGGGUGCCUGGAGCUCCCUCGGGGUCGGGGCUCCGGUGCUGGGAUGGUUCUGUGGGGUGUGAGCAGUGGGUCCCGGCCCCGCGGUGGGGGUUUCACGGUGUUCAGAAUCGCUUUGGCAGCUUCUCCCCCUGCUCUCGCUACGGCCGCGGGCAGAUGGAAGCACAGCCAGGCAGAUCUGAGUCACAUCCUCCUCAGGGGUGAAUUUCGAUUGCUUCAGAUCAGAUUUUCUCCGCCUGGACAGGUCAGGCCCGGCCCUCCAUCAGGAUACGGCACAGAGCCCUCCGACGGCUUUUUGGGGCGGUGGGGGGACACAAAGCAACGCUUUCCCACGUGCCGUGAGCUGAGCCAGCCUCAGCCCCGGGAGCUCAGCCCCAGAGCCAUCAGCAGAGCCCUACAGGACCCCGACGUCCUUCAAGCAGAGGAUGAGGAAGGAUGUGGGCGCACACGAGGCUGAAGUCUGCCACGGGCACAGCGAGGGUUGGAGAGAGUCCCCAGACUGGCACUGGAGCAGCACAGACUCUCAGAUCACAGAGCAAGGGUUGGAGGCACAGAACUGAGGCUGGCACGCAGUGGGAGCAGCAUAGGGAAGGAUGGAGCUGGAAAAGAACUGAGCUCCCAUUGGAAAUAACCCCCAAACGAUGCACUGUGGAUCUGUAACCCAACUGAAGGAGCUCGAGCAUAGCCAAGGCGAGCUGCAGAGCUCCAUCUUCCACUCAUCCCAGCCAGGCUCCCUCAAAUCCCCAACAUGCAGACAGUGGGGAGGGGGCUCUGAUCCCAUCCAUCCCUUCCCACCCAGCCUGGACCACGGCUGUUCCCUAUCCUGGAGGGAGAAGACAUCUAUAUAUUUAUUUAUUUAGUUAUUUUGCCAGGAACAGCACUAAAAUAGAACUCCAUGCACACACGCACGCAUCACAUCAGCUUAACCAGAGAGGCAGGGCUGAGGUGGCUGUGAAAAUCAACCCGAGGCUGAGCUGCAAAUGGCAUCAAAUGGGAGGAUGCAACAUCCUGCACCGGAGCUUCUAUGGAGCUUCGCUUUGGAGAGGAGCACCUCCUCAGCAGGCAAGGUGACCCAGCUGCAGCACCGAGGAGUCGCGUGGAUCCAGGUCCAAUCGAUGGGUGGCACUUUGCCUCUCCCUGGCACGGUCGCUUCCACUCCAGGAAAGCUUUUCAUUUCAUUGCUGGAGCUGCUCUGGGUUUCGCUUGCGGCUGCUUGGUUUUGGCCAUUCCGAGUUUGGCACGGAUUCCUGUCUGCCAUCAGCUCUCCAUCACAGUGCUGGGACCUUCCCUGCAUCUCACGCAUCCAUUUGAUGAGCCUGAGAGCAGCACAGCUGCCAGCUGCUCGAAAAUAUGACAUCUUUUCACAGAAACUCCAGGUUUCUCCCCAGAAAUAUGACAUUUUCCCCCAAAGAAUAGGAUAUUUUCUCCCAGAAAUACAAGUUCAUUCCCCCAAAACG
rnacentral:lncRNA from 1 species